AUGUAUAGGGAUGAGAACUUUUCCUGGUUUCUAAUUCCCCAAUAUUUAACGAAGAGCCUACAUCUAGUCCCAAAAGAUAUGGAUAUCCAGUCCCUAAUAAUCAUACUUUAGCCGAGACAAAAGGCACCACUUAUUUUUAUCUCUUGUAUAUAAUAUCAGAAAAUAAUAAAAUAAGACACCUAAAAUUAUAGAAAUAAAAACUCACACUCCAAUAUUUCCUUCAUCCCUUUAGGGAAAUCCAAAUCCUAAUAGUUCAUCUCCCUGGCAAUUUGCUCUUGCUAUUGGUGAUUUGUUGUUUCCUCAAAAAUACUAGGUCAACCCUCUUCCUCUCCUUUCUAGAAAAACCCUAGAAUUCAAAUUUUAUAGUCAAAUUCAUACAAACUCCAUAUUGAUUCUGAAAUUCCAUUUCAAUUAUGAAAAAAAUGGCAUUGGAGAUUGAGGAGGUGGAAUCAAUAAAUGGUGAAUCAUCAUCGUCUUCGAUGGCAGUUAACGGCGGCCUUGAGGAUGAGAGUUUAAGGAACGCUGUGUAUGCUGCAGCUGGACGUCCUCUCUUGGUUUCGUAGGUAUGUCUAUGAAUUCUUUCUUUCACUACAUGAACAAGCGUUAAUGUUUUCCCUUCUAUUUAUCUUCAAAUUUUGAGAUUAUCCUUACUUAUGUGGUGACAAAUUCAAGAAUGACAAGUUUGUGCUAAGACAAUUUAGCUUAUAUGGUUUGGGAAAGUUGAGAAUAGUCAGGUCUAUUUUUUUUUGGUAUGUUUAUACCCAUCAAUUGAUGAUAAUAAUUGUGCAAUUUUACUUAAAAAUUCUAUUUUUGUUGAACCUUGUUGGGUAUAAGAUAUUAUCUUUGGGAUUGCAGUCUAUUCAGGUUUGGCUUAUGUACUUACAAAAUGUCUUGCAUAAGGUAUCCCUGUAGGUAUCAUCCACCUAUAUCAGUUGAUUCAAGUCAAACUAGGGACUGAAAUACUAUUUUGCAACAGAUGGAUUAUAAAAAAAUAAAAAAUAAAAAAAGAAUGCCACAUUUUCUUUCCAAAAAGUUAAUUAAACACUUUCGGACGAACGUCUAAAUGAAAUAUAAAUUGCAAUAGUAUUGCAAUCAUGCUAGGAGUUUCUCAUGUGGUGUUUAAGCUUAUAUAAAAUUGUCAGUGAAAAAUAUUGGAGCUAUACACGUUAAUCUCAUGCUUUUGACUUCAUAAGCCUUAUUUUUAAGCUCACAUGUUAUCAAGAAUCAUGCCUCUUGCAUAAAGAAAUACCCAAUAAAUAGUUUUCUAAGCAUUGAGUCUUUUUAAUUUUUGUGUUGUUAACUGUGGUAGAUGAUGUGAUGUAACGACCCGUCAUGUUGUUUUUGUAAUCAUAACUGGUAAUAAUGCCUCCAAAUAAUGAUUUUCUAUCAUGUUUUUGGAUUUUGUUGUCCCAAAGCGAAAAUUUAUGACACGAAACUAUUAUGUCUAUCGUUGGAGCUGGUGUGUAUCAAAAAUCUGAGUGGAAUUCGCAGAGUUUAGGUAAUUUCUCACUGUAUUUUUAGUAGCUGACUUUAACUUAUGUAGCCUUAAGAGAUUUACUUCUUUUGCAGCGAGACCUGACAGAGAAAGUUGAACGUGUUCACAUAAGUUCAGUAUUAAGGUUUGAACUAAGACGCUCAAUAGGUAACUUGUGAUUUUAAUUUUAGAACCUUAAGUAUUUUUAAAGUUUGAAGAGUUACGAAACUAUUAAUAUUAUGCUGGGCUGAUUUAAUAUGUAGGUUUCUUGAAUCUUACUUGUAAAGUUUCUAUGUUAAAUACGAGGUUCAGGCUUGUGAUCACAAAUAAUGAAAAGUCAAAGCCUGCACAAAAUUAGUUUUAGAUUGUUAUGCUAUAUUUGUUCUUUCUAUCUGCCUCAUUUUUCUUAUGUUUGGAAUUCCAGGUUGGUUCACUAUCUUGAACAGAUACAGCACCUCUAGCUUGAUAUUAGUUUCAGUCCUUCCUGAAAUAUAAUGUUCUUAUUCUUUCUGUUAUUUAUCUGGUCAAAUUAUUGCUACAGAAUGUACUGCUCAUGUUUAAGUCCAGUUGCAAUUUGUUUCUUCCUAUUGUUGAUUCUAUCUUAAAUCUGACCUUCUUGCUAUUAUAGCAGCCUAUCAUUUCCGUUAUUGUAUUGUUUGUCAUUAAAACACUGAUUUAUAGCAGCCCACGAGAUUACACUUGAUAUUAGUUUUAGCCUAUCAUUUUCGUUAUUAUAGCAGCCCACGAGAUUACAUCUGAUAUAGCAUCUUCAAGGUACAAUUACACUCAUCUUCUUAAAUUUUAUUUAAUUUCCCUUACUUAGUGUCUGGCUCUAAAAUAAUACUUUCUGCACUUUUCAUAGUAACUAUCCACUGUAAAAUCAGCCCUGUUACUAUGUAUCCAUCUACUUUUAUCCUCCUCCGGGGGUCACUUUAACAUGUUUUAGACUGUUUAACAGGUUCAGCAGUUGGGAAAUUUCCUACUCAUAGAAAUUUCUCCUCAUUCUAAUGUUCUUCCCAUAGUAUCAUAUUUUUAUACUAUAGAAACGCUGGUUUCGACAUCUCUGCUUGAUGUCAACACAAAACCAAGUUGAGGACAUUACAGUCUUUACAUAGCAGAUCUAAGCAAAAUGUUCUUCAACCCUAGAAAAGUAGAAAUGAACUGCCACCACAUCAAUUGUUUCACUUUCCCUCUCUCUUUCGACCUUUCUCUACAACGUUUUACAUCGUCCUUAAUUUUCAUUUUACAAAGGCUACGGCGGCGGCAGUUUCAGUUUGUCUAUCAACUUAUGUCGUUCCGGGUAAAAUUUUCCUAUAUUAUUUCUCAUUCUAGCAGUUUUCUGGUGAUUUAUGAGUUUCUACUCAACCCUAAACACUGUUAGUUUGGAUUCGAAUUUGGGAGUUCUUCCUCAUAACUUGUUUUCGUCUAGAUUGGUUGUUUCCUCAACUAAGAGACUAUAGUUAGAACCUUUUUUCGCUCAUGUAAUAUAUAUAUAUAUAUAUAUAUAUAUAUAUAUAUAUAUAUAUAUAUAUAUAUAUACACACGAGGCAUUUUCUGUUUGUGAAUUUAAACUUGAGGGAUUAUGAUGACGAAUUUUGCGACUGACAUUGUUGUUGCUCGAGAUAAGCGCUUCGUAUCGAAAUUUGAGUUUAAAUUCUAGAGGCCAUUGCAGUCGUAUUCAGUGGGAUCAACUGGAUGUUGUCCAGUUUUGGAAGGGUGCAGAGGAGUUUUCAAAGUAUUGCCCUGAUAAAUGAUGCAAACAGUUGGCUUCACACUUCACAUACAAUUUUUUCAUUGCAUAUGGAGAGGUUGUGCUUCAGUCUUCACAUAGCAGAAAAUCAUUUGUAUUAUUGCCAAGCUAUGUAAUGUAGUGUAUGUGCUCCUAUGGUGACGUACGUGUAUCUAUAGUAGGAACCACUUCAUCAUGAAAUAAGUGAUGUGAAUACGGGAAUACAAAUUCAUUAGUCCU